UGAGGAAUAUUGGUCAAUGGACGGAAGUCUGAACCAGCCAAGUAGCGUGCAGGAUGACGGCCCUAUGGGUUGUAAACUGCUUUUGUAUGGGGAUAAAGUUAGGGACGUGUCCCUAUUUGCAGGUACCAUACGAAUAAGGACCGGCUAAUUCCGUGCCAGCAGCCGCGGUAAUACGGAAGGUCCAGGCGUUAUCCGGAUUUAUUGGGUUUAAAGGGAGCGUAGGCUGGAGAUUAAGUGUGUUGUGAAAUGUAGACGCUCAACGUCUGAAUUGCAGCGCAUACUGGUUUCCUUGAGUACGCACAACGUUGGCGGAAUUCGUCGUGUAGCGGUGAAAUGCUUAGAUAUGACGAAGAACUCCGAUUGCGAAGGCAGCUGACGGGAGCGCAACUGACGCUUAAGCUCGAAGGUGCGGGUAUCAAACAGGAUUAGAUACCCUGGUAGUCCGCACAGUAAACGAUGGAUGCCCGCUGUUGGUACCUGGUGUCAGCGGCUAAGCGAAAGCAUUAAGCAUCCCACCUGGGGAGUACGCCGGCAACGGUG
rnacentral:rRNA from 1 species